AUCUCUGCUUUUGCUUCCAUCAGCUGCUUCCACCACUGAAUGAAGGCUCUAAAAUGGCUUUAAGUACUGUUCAUCCGAGUUACCACUAAUCUCCUUUUGGUUUGCUCAGGUCAGCAGGAUCCUCUCUAGAGGCAUGCUCUCUCCCUGGAUGAAUACUGACCUCUACUAAAAGCAUCACUGUAGGACAGCAUGACAUCAGAAGAGCAUCAGCAAGGCAGUUUCUUAAGGUCUUUUCUCAAAAGACCUUUAAGAAGUAAUGCUGGGGUAGGGUGAUAUCUGAUAAGUUCUCAUGUUCUGUAGGAGGGAAGUUAAUAGCAAUGGUGUGCUUUCUAUCUCAAAAAUAGAAGGGAAUUGGAAUAUAUGCACAUCAAGAAACAAUAAAAGUUUAAGAUAGUGAAUUCAGUAAUUGCUAGUUUACCAAGUAUCUAUGAACCAGUGUAUCUAUCAAUUAUACCUCAGACAUACAUACAAAUAUUACAUCAAUUAUUUAAACAAUAAAUUCUAAAUAUAGGUUCUCCAUUGUUAAUGGGAAUAAUUGAUCUUGAAACUCAGUAAAGGAUUUUCAGUGAGUAUCUAUGACAAUAUUUUUUGUCACCAAAUGAAGGGAAAUCCUUUCAUCGUUAGCCUGAAAAAUGUUACCAAGAUCCUGAAAUAAAUUUUGUAACUAUUCUGUCUCAUAACAAAGUUUGUAUUUGAUAUCUUUAUUGGCUCUUAAGUCCCUUUUGGUUGUAGUACAAACAUUUGAGUGAAUGUACUAGAUGCUUUCUCCAGGAAUUGGUUUUCUACCUUCUUUUAUAACUUCUCCUAUAGUAACCAAUAUUAAUGUGAGCUAGAGAAUGCACUGGAAUUUACUUUCAUAAGUGAGUUGUUUUUCCAAUGCCCACUCUAAGCUCUAUCAAGUAUUUGUUUUGUAUUUAAUAAAACCUAGCAUAGAACUCCAGUUAGCUUCUUCAAAGACAAAAUAAAUUACAUAUAGUCGAAAGUAAAUAUAAUUUGCUAUAACCUUCACUCUAAUGCCCAUGAAGAUAAAUGACUUCUAUUAUAUUUACAAAAACACAGCCAUAGUCAUUAAUAUGACUCACCAUUUUAGACUUGAGAGUGGAUAAAUAGAUCAAAGAAGUCCUGCAAAGUAAUGAAAACAUUUAAAUAUUCUAGACACCAGAGAAAAAGCUCGAAGGUAGAAUGACAACUCAGAAAAGAAACGAAGGAGGAAGGAGGGAGAUAAGGAAGCAGCCAGAGACUAUGAUGUGAGGGAGGAGGGGAUAAGGAGGAGUAGGGAGACUAGCAUGAGACAAGUUAGGGAUAAGGAGGAAGAGGGGGAGAUGAUUCUACAUCAAUAAGACAAUAGUAAAUUGUUGUUAUUACCAAACAGAAAUGUAUUUUACUUCCUCUAAAACCUAAUGACAAGAAAAUAUAACAAACUUACAUUCUUAAACCUGUAAAUUUAAACAAAGAACUUCUAAAGCUUAGUGAAACAAAUACAAUUAUCUAAUUAUCCUAAAACAAUAACAGCUAAUCAUUUUAAACAAACUUACAGUUUGACUCACUUUUGUAAAAUAUAAAUACUUAAAGAUCCUUCCUCUGAGAUGCUUAAAGACUAAGAAACAAGCUCUAUGGAGAAAUCAGUGGGGUGUUUCACUGACCCACAUGCCCUCUGUGUAGCUAAACAGAUUGUUUUUUAUUGCUGUGCAAUAUAGCUGAAAUUUUAUACUUUGGCUCCAAAAUCAUUCUUUCUUAGAGAACUUAAAACCAAUCCUAAUAAUUUCCACCACAGGUAAAUGAUAAACGUAUAAAGAGAUUGAUAUUUAAUUUGAUUUUGACACUAGACAAUCUGUACAUGUAUCAAAAUAUUACAUGAUGUGUGUUCAAUCUUAUUUGCUUUUUUUUUAGUUAGUUAAAAAGAAGCUCAUAAAAUGAACAUCUUUAAAGUUAAAAGGGGCAGUGACUACAGAUAAUUUCCUUACUAUUGGGGCUUCUGAAAAAGUUGUUAAUACUACCUUGAUAUAAUGUGUUUUAAAGCAAUGAAAAAGAUUGUCAGUUAAUAACUGGGUGUGUUUGCAUGAUGAUCAACUUACUGAAACAAUGCCCUGUACAUAAACAAUGCCGAUUUUGCCAGCUCUGGAUUCAAUGACUCUGUUUGAAAAGCAGUUCUACAGGCAUUACCAUUCUUGCUUCAAGGUUAGGGAAACUAGAUUUCCUUGAAAGUAUUUGCAACCCUAAAAACCACUUUUAAUAAGAAUUGUAUGAUAAGUUGUUGAAAUGCAAAUGUAAAAAUUUUUAUGUCUCUCAAG
ensembl:lncRNA